GACGAACGCUGGCGGCGUGCCUAAUACAUGCAAGUAGAACGCUGAAGCUUGGUGCUUGCACCGAGCGGAUGAGUUGCGAACGGGUGAGUAACGCGUAGGUAACCUGCCUGGUAGCGGGGGAUAACUAUUGGAAACGAUAGCUAAUACCGCAUAAGAGUAGAUGUUGCAUGACAUUUGCUUAAAAGGUGCAAUUGCAUCACUACCAGAUGGACCUGCGUUGUAUUAGCUAGUUGGUGAGGUAACGGCUCACCAAGGCAACGAUACAUAGCCGACCUGAGAGGGUGAUCGGCCACACUGGGACUGAGACACGGCCCAGACUCCUACGGGAGGCAGCAGUAGGGAAUCUUCGGCAAUGGACGGAAGUCUGACCGAGCAACGCCGCGUGAGUGAAGAAGGUUUUCGGAUCGUAAAGCUCUGUUGUAAGAGAAGAACGAGUGUGAGAGUGGAAAGUUCACACUGUGACGGUAGCUUACCAGAAAGGGACGGCUAACUACGUG
rnacentral:rRNA from 1 species